rnacentral:pre_miRNA from 1 species
GUAAUACUCCCUCCAUCCGAAAAUACUUGUUAUCAAAAUGGACAAAAAAGGAUGUAUCUAGAACUAAAAUACAUCUAGAUACAUCCCCUUUUAUUCAUUUUGAUGACAAGUAUUUUUGGACGGAGGGAGUAGUAU